rnacentral:rRNA from 1 species
AUUGAACGCUGGCGGCAGGCCUAACACAUGCAAGUCGAGCGGAUGAAGGGAGCUUGCUCCUGGAUUCAGUGGCGGACGGGUGAGUAAUGCCUAGGAAUCUGCCUGGUAGUGGGGGAUAACGUCCGGAAACGGGCGCUAAUACCGCAUACGUCCUGAGGGAGAAAGUGGGGGAUCUUCGGACCUCACGCUAUCAGAUGAGCCUAGGUCGGAUUAGCUAGUUGGUGGGGUAAAGGCCUACCAAGGCGACGAUCCGUAACUGGUCUGAGAGGAUGAUCAGUCACACUGGAACUGAGAUACGGUCCAGACUCCUACGGGAGGCAGCAGUGGGGAAUAUUGGACAAUGGGCGAAAGCCUGAUCCAGCCAUGCCGCGUGUGUGAAGAAGGUCUUCGGAUUGUAAAGCACUUUAAGUUGGGAGGAAGGGCAGUAAGUUAAUACCUUGCUGUUUUGACGUUACCAACAGAAUAAGCACCGGCUAACUUCGUG